UACGAAGGGGACUAGCGUUGUUCGGAAUUACUGGGCGUAAAGCGCACGUAGGCGGAUUUGUAAGUCAGGGGUGAAAUCCCGGGGCUCAACCUCGGAACUGCCUUUGAUACUGCAAAUCUCGAGUCCGAUAGAGGUGGGUGGAAUUCCUAGUGUAGAGGUGAAAUUCGUAGAUAUUAGGAAGAACACCGGUGGCGAAGGCGGCCCACUGGAUCGGUACUGG
rnacentral:rRNA from 1 species